rnacentral:snoRNA from 1 species
AAGACCUUACUUGAACAGGAUGUGUUCUAUAGGCUCGUACCACAGUAUCCUUGAGUUCUAUAGAGACAGUAAACCAAGUUUGGUAGAUGAACGCUGGGAUCUGAUCCUCAGAAGAAAUCUCCCAGAAUACUUGAAUUGUUUAAGGUUCUGGAGAAUUUUCAAGGUAUACAAACA